CGAACGCGAUCGCCGAGUUCUGCCAUGCGCACCGGGACCCGUACACAGAACAUCCGCAUGGCAGAAGCGGGGGAACCACUUCCGGAUUCGUGACAGCCCGUCGAAUCCUAGGGGUCAAGCCGGCACGGCUCACCAGCACGUGCGGCCGGAUGUCUCCCAUCCGAACCCGACAGCUCACCCCGCAGGCGUAGGGAGGAACA
rnacentral:sRNA from 2 species